UACGAAGGGGGCUAGCGUUGCUCGGAAUCACUGGGCGUAAAGGGUGCGUAGGCGGGUCUUUUAAGUCAGGGGUGAAAUCCUGGAGCUCAACUCCAGAACUGCCUUUGAUACUGAGGAUCUUGAGUUCGGGAGAGGUGAGUGGAACUGCGAGUGUAGAGGUGAAAUUCGUAGAUAUUCGCAAGAACACCAGUGGCGAAGGCGGCUCACUGGCCCGAUACUGACGCUGAGACACGAAAGCGUGGGGAGCAAACAGG
rnacentral:rRNA from 1 species